CGUAGGGUGCGAGCGUUGUCCGGAAUUAUUGGGCGUAAAGAGCUCGUAGGCGGCCUGUUGCGUCCGCUGUGAAAGCCCGGGGCUUAACCCCGGGUCUGCAGUGGAUACGGGCAGGCUAGAGUUCGGCAGGGGAGACUGGAAUUCCUGGUGUAGCGGUGAAAUGCGCAGAUAUCAGGAGGAACACCGGUGGCGAAGGCGGGUCUCUGGGCCGAUACUGACGCUGAGGAGCGAAAGCGUGGGGAGCGAACAGGAUU
rnacentral:rRNA from 1 species